CCCAACGCCUGAUCUGUCUCCCUCUGCCGCAACACUCCCGCCGCUUCCAAUGUCUUUCCUGUGCAGGCCUCGGACGUGUUCCCACACUGUGUGGGGGCAUCCCCUGGAACACACACAAAAGCACACGCGCCAGUUCCAGCUGAAGAAGAAAAACAGCCGCACUGCACGAUGCUGGCGGCGCCACAAUUUACAAUUACUCUUACAAGAACUUCUCCCUCGAGAGAGCACUGCCGUCACAGUCAACAAGUCAAAACCCUCCAGGUGAAAACUGAACCGGAAGAGAGUCGUACUUUAAAUGCGAUGAAUUCCCAUAUCACACACAGUGAGACCGGGUAGAAAAAAAAAAAGCCAGUGGAGUAGUAGUGUAGGUGUUAGUUUAUUGUAAUGAGAAACCCCCCCCCUCCCCCCCUGCAGCCCGGUUGAGUCAGAAACAUCUAUUAUUGCCUGAAGAACCAUGUGUCACAUUGGAAGAGGCGUCAGCGAUCAAAACCAUGAAUGCAUCCCACAACUUCAGGGCUCGGCCAUACUACCUAGAACUGUCCGUUUAUGUAAGUUGAAGUUUAUGCAAUGGAAAAGAGAGGACUGGUCUGAUCUUGUUUCAUUACCAUAAUUUAGGCAAAAUUAGGAAUCUGAUGUGAUAAAGGUGUUAGAUUUGGUUUGUGAUAUGUGUUUUGUACAAUUCGGUGUCAUUGAAACGGAACAACACUCGUGCUAAUCGCGGUUUACCUGCCGUGGGACGAGCUCGAUGC